GAGGGGAUAGCUCAGUGGUAGAACACAUGCACAGCAUGCAUGAGGUCCUGAGUUCAAUCCCCAGCCCCUCCA
rnacentral:tRNA from 1 species